rnacentral:tRNA from 1 species
AGGGAGUUAGCUCAGUUGGUAGAGCGCCACCCUUACAAGGUGGAUGUCGUCGGUUCGAACCCGGCACUCCCUACCA